rnacentral:rRNA from 1 species
UACGUAGGGGGCAAGCGUUGUCCGGAUUUAUUGGGCGUAAAGAGCGUGUAGGCGGCCUGACAGGUCAGCUGUGAAAACUCGAGGCUCAACCUCGAGACGUCGGUUGAAACCAUCUGGCUAGAGUCCGGAAGAGGAGUGUGGAAUUCCCGGUGUAGCGGUGAAAUGCGCAGAUAUCAGGAGGAACACCGGUGGCGAAGGCGGGUCUCUGGGCAGUAACUGACGCUGAGGAGCGAAAGCGUGGGGAGCGAACAGG